ACAAAAGGAAAGGCAAGUUACCUCAGUGUCACUAUUGCUUAUGAUUGGCACAAAAAAUUCUCCCAUGCAGCCCUGUUAUUCUCUUGUACCAUAGCAUCUAAUUAAUUCUAUGAAAUCCUAUGCCAGAAGUUCAGGAAAAGAAAACCCCAUUAGCUGCACUCUUUGUGUGUUCCAGUGACUUUUAUUCUAUUCUAUCCAAUCUCAAAGAGCUGUAACACAGCAUUGUAGGGAUGAGCUUCAUUUACACCUCAGUUAAAACAAUAUAAAUCUGCAUUACAUCAAAGCAUAAUACAAAUAAGAAUCAGGGCUCAUAUUUCAGGUAGAAUAAUACAUUGGGUAUUUUUCUUCUAAAUUUGGUUUCAAGAGAGUAGGAACUAAACACAGCCACACACUCUUCAUCUUGAUAGAUCCAUGAAAGGUAUUUUCAGUCAAAAAUGAUUUUUGAGUUUACGAGAAUUAAAUUUAAAAAAUAGUAAAAGAGUGUGUCUUUGCAGCUCAAGGAGGAUUUAUGAUUAGAGGAGACACAGCAGAUCCUUUGUGCCUUUGCUCUCUUUGGCCUCUUGUACACAGAUGAACAACAAGAGGUCGCAUGUGGAUUUACUGUCCUUUGUAGAAAAAACUGCUGCCUUUGUAUGACACUGCUACCACAGGGCAGGAAAAGGUUGUUAUUGAUUUUUAAUAUCCUACAGAAUUAUUACAGUUUUGUUAGCAUGCCAAGAAAGAUGCUGGAUGUACCCAUGGAGGCAUCACUUUGACUGCUGCUCUAUUUUAACCAAAAUUCAGUAAUUGUAAUAGAAUGGUAGAAUGUCAAGGGGUUGGAAUAGACCUUAAAGACCAACUGGUCCCAACCCUCUCUGCCAUGGGCAGGAACACCUCCCACUAGACCAGAUUGCUUAAGACUGUAUCCAACUUGUCUUUGAAUGGGUUCAUGGUAUCCAGGGGUUCGUAGAAUUUGAAUGGAAUCACCAAAUGGGUUCUGAUAAAAGGCAUAGUUCCAGCCACAUACACAGGUCACUGCUGCAGAAACUGACACCUCUGAUGCACCCUAAUGAUCAGCAGCUCAUCUCGCUGCUUUUUAAUCAAUAUGGAUUUUCCCUUCCUUUUUAUGUGAGCAAUGCAUGGAAAUCCAGCUUAGUACCAAAAUGCCCUCUCUCUCACUCCUUCCUCACACACAUGCACAGUCACACAUACAGGAUAUGAAUAAAGGCUGAGCUAUGAGACCUGGAUUGCUUGAACAUGUGCAGGGUGGGUGCUACUCUUGCCACCAGCACCACCAUCUUGCUGAAGGAGAGCCAGUGCUGGGCCUCGUAGACCUGUGCUCCUCCAUAUGGAAUGAAACGCAGUGCCAGCUCCAGAGGGACUCUCAAGAGUUCUGAGAGUCACACAGUUUCACAUGUGUUACUGAAUUGUCUUGUGCAAGAUAUGCUCACCACUUCUGUUGGAGUAUCUUCCACAGAUUUAUAUUUUUCCUUAUAGAAACAUUGCCUCAUAUUUAAGCUUUCCCAUCCUUCCUAUUGUACCACAAUCCCUCAUGGGGUGCCAUUUAUUUAAGAAAACAGGUAUGGUCAGGAAGGUGUCUGCUGAUGGUGUAUCUGAAGUGUGUUAAUCUGUCCUGGAAUGUGUUAAUGAAACACGCCAGAGAUAUUACAGUGACGAGCAGGAGAGAAAUGGGUGUGACAUACUGAGAUGCUGGGGCAUCUUGCUAUGUAUUUGCUGUCAACACAGUGCAGACCCAGCAUAUGCUAUUAAGAAAUCAUCCUUGCAGUUACACUUCAUCUCUAUAAUGCAGUAAUUAUACUUAGAAGCAAGGUAUGUGUAAGUAGCAUACACACUGCUUUUGUCCCUCUGUUUGGCCAGACAUUUCCUACUGUGAGGAAUAAGCUCCCAUGUUCUCAAGGCGGGAAAGCACGGGGGCUCUGGUCAUGCAAACCUAUGGAGAACCCCAAGUCUUAGACAUGUGCCCUGAAAAAUUGAAUAAAAGCAGUGGAAGGGCCUGAAAACAAUAGUAGGAAAGGACAUGAUCCUGAAACUGCAAUUUCUGAAAUUAGUGGGCUUUGACAAUGACAGCUUCCACCCUCUAUGAAAUAGUUUAUUUGCAAUAGACAGUCCACACAAUGCCAUAACAAAGUGAUUUUAUUGACAUUCCUCCAUAGUGAUAUGGUUGAAUAGAAAGCACAGCCUGAGUAUCAUGUGACAUUUUUCUGUCAAUAAAAGCAAAAUCAGUCCAUUAAUGAGGACCUUUCCUGCCACUGACUUUAUGUAGUCUUUAACAAAAAACGUAACAGACAUUUCUGUUAGAUAAAUCGGAAGCUGCAGGGAAUUUGACUAAUGGUACAAUAUUUACUAUACCUAGUAUCUACUAUCUACAGGAAUCUGUUUUUCUACUGGAACAAAAGAACUACAUGACUCACUAGUGAGAAAGUAACAAUCUAGUCUUUUGGACCUUGUGAUAACUGGAAAACCUAUCCCAGAUUUAUUAUAUUGCAGUAGUUUUAUCUUUUCAAAAUGAACACUGAGGUACAGCAAGAAUAAUAAAAAAGCACCGCAUUUGUUGUAGAAAGAUCUGUUGGUCUGCAUUUGACUGAAAGCGUUUAAUCUUGACUGGGAAUCCCUAUGAAUAUUACUAUGGACACAGGGCAAAUAUAAUUUCAGCAGAAAUUAAACAGAUCUCCAGUCAAAUUUGUUCUUCUGAAAUUCCAUGGACUGUCAAUGGAUUAAUAGUGAAGGACGAGUUUAACCUGUCCCCUGUGCAUUUAUAUUUUAGCUUAUUUCAGUUUUGAUUUGCAUGUUCAAAUUCAGUAUCCGAUUGUUUCCAACUAGAGGUAUGUCAACUAUUUGUUACAGUGAAACUAGAACAACAAAACACAAUCCCAACAAACACUCCCCUCCCCACAGGUCACCUCUCAGACUAGACUACGAGCUCAAACCUCAGCUACAGUUCAUUCAAAAGUUCAUGGGCACUUGAGCAAACUGGGUGUAAAAAUUCCCCUGUGUUAGACCUGUACAAAACUCAUUAUUUCUCCAUUAGAUGUUAGAUGUAGUUUGGACCACUCACUUCUUGCCUUGUGAUAGCCAUGGACCUCUCUGGAAUAUAAAAGUCAAGUUUUGAAUAUGCACAGACUGAAACUAAGCACUUAUGUAACUUAUUGCAGACUGAAGUGACAGCAUUUAUAAGGUUUAGACCUGAUGCUGUUAACACUAAGAUACAGAUGUUUAUACUGGAUCAAAUCCUGCAUAACUGAUGUGGUUGAACAGUCAGUAAGACUACUUCAAGGUGGAAGACCUACUGAUGAUUUAAAAUACCUACUUCCAUCUUCUUAUCUUCAGAUUAAUGCUAACAGGAUUUCAAAACCAGAACCCCCUUCCCUCCCUUUACCAUUAAUAUCAUCAUGAUAAUCAUUUUGAGAAACCUAUGGACCCUCUGAAAUUGUUGCCAGUAUUCAUUGCUCCAAUGAAAACCAGAAUUCAUGAAAGCUGUCAGAUUGGCUCUUCCAUUUUCACUUGCAUUUAAAAAAUCUAUUGAUGUUGAUAUUGUAUCUUAAUCUAGCCACCACCAUAUCUAGCCACCGCCAGGUUUAAAGGGAAGUGAGGUGGAAGAGCUGAAAAGAUUAUUUCACUAUAAAUCUGCCCUAUGGAAUAUCUUCUAGUCUUUCCUGUGGGAAACAAUGAAACCAGAAUUUCUGUAAUCAGCAGUCAGUGUUUUAGAAAUGAAGAUGCAGACCUGGGGAGUAACAGCACUUGAAUCAACAGAUGAACAAGGAAGGGUAUGUCUUGCAUAUGCACAACAACAACAAAGCAGCCAAUUAAUUGCAUAAUGGGCAAGUAAAAUAACAGGCUGAGGGAGGUAGGUUCCUCCCUCUCUCCUGUGAGCACCAUUCACUGCCUCACUCUGACACUUCAGAUGCACGGCUUCCCCCUCACUCCAGGCUGAGACUGGAUUCUGCCCAUGGUGUGACACAAGGAAUGGAGAAGGAAUGUGUGACACAAGGAAUGUGAAGUGUUGACACAGAUAUCAGAAAGAUUAUGUAGGAGUUUGAAAACCAAUUGGGGUAGGACAUUUGGGAAGAGAAAGGGAUUGGGCUGGAAUGGCAGAAUGCAAGAAAAGACACACAUUGCAUUUUCUUUCUCUUUGCUUUAUGAAAACAGUCAACUGUCUUUAUUCCUGGCCCUAGAUCCAAAAAACUUUCAAGGAAAUCUGCAUGACUUUGUCAACUUAGAAAGCAGCUUUUCAAAAAUAUUAGGCUAUGUGCUUGAAAGGCAAUUUGGAUCAAGGAUUUUGAUGGGAAGUAGCUGGCUAUGCUCUGUGUUUCCCAGAGGAGCAACACAGAAGGUGCUUGAGAUGGCAUCUGCCAAACAUAAUCUAGUUUAGUGCGUGAUGAAUGCUAGAAAAUGUUGUAAAGAAGAAUUUCAGGAGAAAGCCUUCUGUAUUUAAUUUAGUGGAGCUUGAUGCUGUCUCUGAAAUACAAACAUCUUUUAUUAUGCUACAAAAAAUAGUUUCACUUUUUGUAAUAAAAUAUAGUUUUAAAAUACUUAAAAAAAUUUGACUAUACAGCAUUGUAAAGAUUGGAAUUUUUUUUUGCCACUUUUUUAUUAUGUUAAUGAGACAGCUUUUGAUUUUUCUCGGCCAAACAUGGACCAACGAGUUGGAUGCUUCUUUCUUCUAAUGUUGGAAGACAUCCAACAUUUGACAUAAUACAGGUAACUUCGUAACACCACCAGGAAUAAAUUAGGAACCAUACAAGAAUCACUGGAUUUGGGGGCCCAGAGGUGAAGAGGCAGGAAUUACAUACAUUGGAAGUUUUCAUGUUCAGUGUCUCCUGGUGUGACUUGUCCUGAUGAAAUUCAUGUGCACAUGACAGAUGCUCUGAGAAAAACAUUAAUUUUUCCAUCUCUCCUGUGCAAUGGGCUGGUCACAUGGAAUCAAUGCCUGAGAGCUCAUUUAUGGAAACACUAAACAUCAUUUUCGGUGUGUGGUACAAUGAAGCUGGCCUGUAGCUGCAGCCUCCGUUUGCAACUGUAAUAUUAAACAACAACAUACUAAAACAUAGAAUCUCAGUAAAAGCCAUACAGUAAAUUAGCAUAAAAAUGGCUGAAAUGCCACAGAAAUCGAAUGAAGGGGUAAUUUAAGUAUUUCAGAUUUUUUAUGUACCAUUGCCAAAAAAAAAAAAAUUAUUUCCUUAGAAAUAUAUUUUUGGGUCCAUCACCUUUCAAAUACCUACUGACCUAAGAGUAAAAGCAGGAGAAAGAUCUAGAACUUUCAGAAUGCAGUUUUUCAAGUGUGAUGAGGUUCUGUACAGCCACCAUAAAAAUAUGUGAGAAUGCAGAGUCCAAUUUUUUCCUCUGGAGAGAAAACUUAAGACAAAAUAGAUGUGUUAAAUCUUGAACUGGUCUCCUGAUUUUACAAUGAUCUAAAGCAUAACUAAUACAAAACUACCAGUAACAACCCCCCAAGGGGGUGUUGUACUUCAUGCAAGCUGCUAAACACUAUAAUGUUACCUUCUCAUGUACCUUCACAAAUCUUGUCACUUUGCAUUUCUUGCAUCCUUUAACAUAUUUAGUGUCAGAAGAUACUUUGUAUCUUUGUACAUUUCCCAGUUAAGACAAACACUUUCAAUCUGAGAUUAGUUUUGGAAAAGAAGGGCAGCAAAGAUUAAUAACUAGAAUGUAAUCAGAGCAGUUGUUUGACUAUGGCAGUCUCAGCAAAAUCCAUCCGAAAACAAGCCUAGUGCUGUUUUCCUUUUCCCCCCCUGGAUUCAGAGUUGGUAAGUACACCAAAGAGAAGAGGGUUAUGUCUGCAGUAACAAGAGUGAGAUCUUUAGUUUAGUGGUACUUAGUAUGACUGGAGGGCCUUUGGGCUUCCUCCAAGAGGAUGUACACCAAAAUUUUAACCCCCAGAGAGUUACAGUUCCCUUCAUACCUGAAAAACACCCUCAUUCACUGCAGCUUCUCGUUUGACAGACCCCAGAUGAAAACAUUCUGUCUACAACCAAUCACUCUUGAGGAUAUGGACUAUUCCACUGAACAAGGAAAGAGAAACAACAGAACUGAAACCGCCCCCAGCAACCCACCUAACAGAAAAUAAAUGGCUUCUGACACAGGGAAUGGGAUUGUCUAGACUUGUCAUUUAGAAAGGAACAUUUUAAACAUCAGGAAACAAAGAUCUGGUAAACAGAACACAAGGGUAUUCAUAAGAGUAGAACAUUCUUCUUACUUCCCCUUUUCCUUGUCAGAUACAAUACUAAGGUAAGGGAGCCUUGUCCUUUAUGCUACAUAAUAAAACAUCCUUCUUGAGUGUGCACAACCUUGUGCUUCUUGUGUGGUAAACAUUACAAUGGAGAUGCCCCUCCCGAUAGCUCUGAAGUGCAAGUUCUCUCCAGUACUGGCAAGCAACAAUCGCAACAAUCGCCGUUAUUCUUUGCAUUGCAUUACAGGUUGGUGGGGUUUUUUUUACUUUUUGAAGGUCUUAUCUGCACCAUGUAUCUGGGCCAGUUCCAGCUGAUACAACUGAUGUGGAUCAUGAGUUUGUAUAGAAAAAAUUCAGUUUUGCUCAUUGGUGUCUUUCAGAUGGACAAUACAUACAGGGAAAAUAGGGAUGGAUGAUGACGUAUUUGACCAGCUCCUAGUACUGGAUUCAACGAUUAAGAACUCAACAACUUCACAGAAAAAAUCCUUGCACUUCAAAGAAAGGUCAUCAAAUUUGAAAUGAAAAGAGCAUUUCAGAAGCGCUAUCCAGAUGUUUUGCAUAGCUGUGCUCACCUGUCCAAACACCUCCUCGUUCACUGUGAAGGUUAGAUCCAGGAUAUCUGUGAUAUUGUUAUCCUUCAUCCACUGCAAGCUCUGAUGGAACUCUUCAUCCAGACCAACAAACCAACAGCAGAAAGAACGUGAAGGUCAGUGCACUCGAAGUGACGCCCUGAGGGUGUGUGCAGUCUCUGCAGGACUCCCUGUGGGAUCGCUGCUUGUGCAUGGUUGUGUGGUUGUACUCACAGCCUUAGCAGCGCUUUGUAGAACGGCCUUGUGAAGAAAGCAUCCAGAAGGUACUGAUGAAUGAGAGCAAGGCCAAGAAUACGACCGCUGAACCUGAACCUGUGAAAUAAAAAUGCAGAGUUAAUGAAGUGUAACUCAAGAUUUCUAGUAUAGAAUUUCUGAAUUAGUUUUUCACAUUUAUUCCCUGAUUUUUUUUUUUUUUCUGAGCAGAUACUUAAUGCCACUCCUCCCAUGUCUGACCAAUGGAUCUCCUUGAUGCAUCUCCUCCUCUACCCAUACCUGCAGCUGGCAUGCUAUGUGCUCUCCUGUGCCACAGCAAUGAACACUCACUUUCUGUGACCUCUUGUUCAAUGUUCUGAUAUAGACUGACUACAUCCAACACAGUAUUUGGCAAUGGAAAUACUGAAAUGCUCCACCUCAGCAGAAAAAAUGCUAUCUCAAAAGAGCUGCAAAGGAUGUUUGGAGACUCAGUACAUCCAGUUUCUGACUAGCUACAACCCUGUUGAGGUGGGGCUUUAAAGUAUUUUAAAAGGGUAGUGACUUGACUUGAUAGGGGAAAAAUGAAGUUCAAGUAAGCUAACUGUUGUGACCAAGGACACAUUAACAUCAGCAUCUAAAGCUCAGGCACACUGUUCCAGACCACUUUCUUAAUUUUGCUGCUCAGCUGCUUUCAGUAUUUACACACUCUUGUGUUUGUUUCUAAGAACAACCACCCCCAGUCCCAUUACAAGUACACUCAAUGCACUGCCCAUUAUAAUCUGUGACUUGUGAUGGUAAACUGCUAAAUUUUUCUUCCUAUGAUUUCUUCUAUGACUUCAUAUUUUUUCAUCAAACCUGCUUUUAAAUCAAUCAUGAGACAGAAAACUACAAAACUGGUGUGAGUCCAGGUGAGUUUGAUUUUUGUAAGAACAAUCCCCAACAGCCAUUCAAAACUUGUUUAUAUGUAAGAAAGGAAAAAAUCCAUCGCCCCAAAUAUGAGCACUCCAAGUCUGAGCUGGCUGGUAACACAGAAAAGUUUUACUGCACAAAAGAUGAGAAACAUAUCAAAAAGUGUAGAAACCAUUCCUGCCACUUACAGGAAUCAGUGCACAGACCUCUCCUGCACAUGAAUGAAACACGAGUCUGAUUGUAAUAAAUGUGGCAAAGAAUAUCUGUUCAAUCAACUCUGUGCUCAUGGGACAGAACAACAAGUGCUUAGUAUGUCAAAUGGGGGCACAAAAGAGCCUGCUGUGGGCCCAAUUAGCAUUUACACCACCACAGGAGCUGCCUCCAGGUCCCCUGAAUCUGAGAAAGGUGCUUAUGAUAUGCAGCUGAGUGGCCACAGAAGAAUGAUUAUAUUACCCCCUUACAGCUGUUUCCACAGCAGCAACAAAGGGCAGCUGUUGGGUCUAGUUAGGGCCUGCUUCACUUCACUUGUGCUCCAGUGCAGUGCUUCUAGCAAAAGGCAAGGAAAUGAGGGGGAGCUGAUACAAUGAAAGCACAGUGGAAGCCAGACAGCUCAAAUCCCAGAAAUGCUGAGCCUGUAAUCUGUCAGUUUUAUAGCACCUUUAGGAUCCAUAAUCAGGUCAGUUUGUCCUAAACAACGCAUGUCAGCUUUUCUGGUUUUGUUUUUCACCCCCAUUCAUCCCCGUGCAUUUUGAAAGUGAGCACUGAAUGGAAAUGCUGGGGGUGUUCCUCACCACAGUGCUUACCCCACAGCUACUCCACUGUAGGGGACUGGGCAGGCAGGAGCCACCGGGAAUAAAGCUGAAAGUGAACUGCCAGGAAAGAUUUGGGAAUGUGGCUUCUCCUAAGAAACUGCAUGAUGUGUGAACAGGGUUCCUCUUCUCCUUGCUGCUUGUUUUGCUUCUGCAUGGCUUUGAGGGCAUUCCUGCAAAGUGCACCUACACCAAGGUGUUUACAGCUAGGGGCACACGUUACAGGGGCGGUAAUGGAGAGUCUGAUUUGAAUCAGUGCCUUGUGGCAGAACUGCAUCAAACCAUCCCAAAGCCAUGGGCAGCAUUUCUGUGUGAAAGGUCCAAGCCUGGUGCACCAGCCUAAGAACAGGUGGGAUAAAUGAGACGAAAUUAGCAAAAUGUUGUCACUGCUGGUGCCUAUUAAUACAAUGGAUAAAAAAGCUGUGUAGACCCUAUUCCCUGGCAGCUCUGUAUCUCCCCAGAAAAAUAUGAUGCUGUGUGGCCAAGGCAUGUCAGCUCUCCAGCUCAUAGACCCUUCUGCCCCUGCAUAGAGCUUUGGUAUCUCGGCAGAGACUUGCUAUACUUUACUCUCUUCUGAAGAAUGGUGUAGCAGAAGGUUCUCUGGCCUCUUGUCCGUUCUGGACAGGGCCUGGGACCAGACAUAACACUUCUCUGGUCCAGCACUGAGAAACAUUGACCAUGGUAAACCAGCAGAUACCUAUCAACAGGAGGCAUUUGCUGUCUUUCUCAGGGGACAAACAUACAAUUUAUCUGUGUGUGGCUCCAAUCAGUUCAUCAAGCUACCACUACACUCAGACAAGCAUAGCAGUCCCACUUAAAAUGUAUCAAAACUUACAAAAAAGCAAGAAGAAACAAAUUGCGCUCCUUAAAAAAGUGAGUUAAAACAAAGCCAGACUCUUGUGUUUAUUUCUUCCUAAAAGAUUUAGAGCACGUAAGAUUUAGAGGUGGGUAAAACAGUCCUUUCAGAACAAAACAAGUUUUCUUGACAGAAUAAGCAGCACAAAGGUAAAUCCUGGCUCGAGGGUACAUACCUUCCUUAAGCCUGAAUUACAUUUAUCUUUCCAAGGAAGUGUAAAAUACUUGUUUGGUUUCUUUCUAGCAGAAAAGCUAGUUUGGGAGAGGUGGGGAAUGCAGGGUCUGGCUCUGGCCUUUUCUUUCAACACCCUUCCCUUUUGGAGACAAUGAUUGAGUCUGAGUAAUGUGCUCCAGAGAGAGGGUAAGUGCAGGAGGGAGUUAAUGAACAGGAAAUGGUGGAACGAGAGACAGAAUUAAUGAGCAGUGGAGCUGCUCUGGUUUGACUGCCUAUUGACACUGUUCGUCCACUCAAAAAGGACAUUGUGUGCACCUGCUUUCUGGCUUUUAACAGCACUACUUUUUGACCCAUUUGCAGAAAUUUCCACUGUAUCCAGCUAAUUCCUUUUCCUUCUGGAGGCUUCAGGUGCCCCUGAAGCAGCCACAACAGCCCAUUGCAAAAUAACAGGCUCACUCCCCUCGAUGGAACUGUGAAUACUUAUCUGUGUGCUCAGGGAGAGACAAAUCCAUACGCUGUAGCAGCAACUAGGCAAUAAAUAUUCCUCCCACUGCAGCUGAGUCACAGGAGAUUUAAUGUACUCUGGUCCUUAUCAUACAGCACCAGAGCAAGGCAGGACCCACAAUGACCCACAAUUUGGUACAGGGCUCCCUCUUAACUGGUUCAAUGAAUGGAGCUCUACUUUAUAUGACAGUUUUUCCUUGGAUUCAGAUGGAUAAUGAUGUACCUUGAAGAGAUUGUAAUCUGUGUGAACAGAGGAAGAGCAGUCUUUAUAAUUCUAUUGGGAAUGCUUUGGGAACCAUGCCUUGUGGGCUAAAUUAGGUAUGAUAGAAGAAACUUCAAAUCCUAAAAAAAGGAAGUACCUGAUGAGAUUAAAAAGAUUGAAAAUCUGCAAACCUUAUAUUGCUCAAAUACAUCAGCUGCAUUUAAGUGUGCCCUUCUUGAUGCAGUAGCUUGUGAAAAAAUAUUCAUAGUGGGACUUGAGAGAUAUAAAUAUAGCAUGGUUCACAUAAAAUUUGAAAAUGUCACUUUCACAAGACUUGCUUUCUGUAAGUGAAAUUUACACAUUCUGUUGCACCAGUUUUGAAACUCUUGACUGUUUAAUCAUGCAGAUGAACUUUUGGCCACCUGAAAGACAAGCUGAACAAAUGAGGCUACACUGUGGUCCAAGUUUUCUGUCCUUGGCAGCUCUUCUGAGGAAGAAUGAUAUUUGUCAGGUGGAUCCACCUGGAGAGCCUAUUAGUCCUUUCACAGUGGGAGAGACUGGAACUAAUCUUUAUCGUUAUUAGAUACCAGAGACUCUAACAAGAGGAAAAUAUUUAGAAAGGCACAAUCAUGGGAAAUACUUCACCUUGAACGUGCAUCUUAUUAGACAACAGAGAAUUCAGUCACAAAACAAAAAUUUGUAGGAAAUUGGGCAUCAUGGAUUCAAGAGAUUGUAGUACAGCUUUUUUUAAAACACUGUUAAAACUGCCAUUGUUAUGAAGACACUACUGAACAACCUGAAGGCCAGAAACUGCUGAUUAAAGGAAUUAAAAAUCAAUUCUUAUACUCUAGUGAUUUGCAAUCUUUUGAUAUGAGUGGGGGACACAACAUACAGAGGAAAAUGUACUGAGUUUAUGAUUUCUGAAUUUUGUUGUUAUCACCAGCUCUAGCACUUUAUAAACAAAGAACUUCUUUUAAUGCAUGAAAGUGAUAAGAAUAUAUAUUUUGCAAAAAGAGUUGACCAGCUAGAUGGUUACAGCAACUCUGCCUGGGUUCAUACAUUAAGAAUUUUAAGCCAUACUGGCAGUGUGUCAGGCAUAUGCUCCAGAGGUAUGUGUCUAGAUGUUGGCAGUACACAUCCUUGUGUUGGCUCAGUGCAGGACGUGGCCAACAUGUCCUAUAUGAGCUACACCUACAGAGAAAUGAUCUAGCAGAAGAUCAGGUCACCUCUACAAAACCUUGUCAAUGGAUCAAAUCCACACCUCUAUCUAUCAGCCUUCAUUAACAAAUGCCUUUCUUUAAUUUGGUGUGCAUAUUUAACCCCUACUCACUCAAAUGAAAGAACAUUUGAAGGGACUAAUGGGAUGACAUGAAGCAUUCUUUUGUCAGGAAGGUUGAGCCAGGCAGGCUGGGACAGCUCACGUGUUCUCUUUAUCUGACUUGCAUCUGCAAACUCUGCAGAC